rnacentral:lncRNA from 1 species
UCAGUUGUAGCUGCCUCUGCCUCAUUCUGUUCCUCAACCUUUUUGGUUUCAACCUCUACCUCUCUGGAGGAUACUUGGACAGCUUCAGGUGCUUCUGGUUCCUUCUUGUCAUCAUUUGCAGCAACAGCAAUCUGUUCCUCAACCUUGUCAUCCACUGCUUGUGUGUCAUUUUUAACAUUCUCUACCUUCACAAUUUCUGUUUCAGUUGUAGCUGCCUCUGCCUCACUCUGUUCCUCAACCUUUUUGGUUUCAACCUCUACAUCUCUGGAGGAUACUUGGACAGAUUCAGGUGCUUCUGGUUCCUUCUUGUCAUCAUUUGCAGCAACAUCAAUCUGUUCCUCAACCUUUUCCUCAAUAGCUUUAGCCUCCUGGUCAAUGGAAGCUUGUUCAGGGUUUUCUGUAAUGCCUGCUACUUCUUUCGAUACCGCUUCAAUCACAUCAGUAAGGCUUGAUUCUUUCUUGCCAUCUUCAGCAAUCUCUUCUGGAACUUCAGGUGAAGGUUCCACCACAUUUGCAGGAGCUGCUUGAGCUUCCUCACUU